AUUGAACGCUGGCGGCAGGCCUCACACAUGCAAGUCGAACGAUUGGCGGACGGGUGAGUAAUGUCUGGGGAACUGCUUGAUGGAGGGGGAUAACUACUAGAAGCGGUAGCUAAUACCGCAUACCAUCAGCUGUGCCCAGAUGGGAGUAGCUAGUUGGUGGGGUAACGGCUAACCAAGGCGACUAGCCCUAGCUGGUCUGAGAGGAUGACCAGCCAAACUGGAACUGAGACACGGUCCAGACGCCGACGGUAGUCGGACGUGGGGAAUAAUGCACCAGGGGCGUGAGCCUGAUGCAGCCCUGCGGCGUGUACGAAGAAGGCCUGCGGGUUGUAAAGUAGUUUCAUAGGGGAGGCGUCACCCGCAGAAGACGCACAGGCUAACUCCGUGCCAGCAGCCGCGGUAAUUC
rnacentral:rRNA from 1 species